GCGUGCGCCCCUGACGCGCUGUAGCCUCGGGCCCCGGCUGGGCGCCACGCUACGGAAGCAGCGUAAGGCGUAGCGGGUAGGCCGGGCGGGACGGCGGGCGCUAGCUACGGAGGCGUUUGUAAGGUUGCCGGGCCGAGACGGAUCUUCGCGGCCAAAACGCGCUAAGCCGGCGGAGCAUCGCGGCUGGCGCGAAGGGGCCCUUGGUGCCCUCCGGUCGAAGUUGUGGGUCAACCGACUGAGGGCCGGCACUAGGGCCGCGCCCGCCUAGACCGAUCGCGAGCGCUGAGGAGGCGCCGCCGGCUCGCUAAGCCGGCUGCCCUUUCUCCGGUGUGGGCACUCUCCUCUCUCCAUGCUUCCAUCCGUGUGCCACCGGCCAGAGGUGACCAGGCCCGGCUCUCUACGUGGCCGCUGUCAGGGGGGCCAUGGGGAGCUCCGCCUCCUCCCUGGCUGCCGAGACGGAGUCAGACCACGGCUUCCCUGGGGGGCCACCCUACCCAGGGCCCCCAGCAGCAGCUGGCUGGUGUAGGAGUGGCCCUGGGGAGACUGUCUGGGGAAGUGCUCUGGUCACCAGACAGCAUCCACGACCCAGGGCCCAAAGCCACACUCAUUCUCCUGGGUCUAUGGCCACAGUUGGGGAGUGGUCCUGUGCACGCUGCACCUUCCUGAACCCUGCCGGCCAACGCCAGUGCUCCAUCUGUGAGGCCCCCCGACAUAAGCCAGAUCUUGACCAGAUCCUUCGUCUCAGCGUAGAGGAGCAGAAAUGGCCCUGUGCACGCUGUACAUUCCGGAACUUUUUAGGCAAAGAGGCUUGCGAAGUGUGUGGCUUUACCCCAGAGCCUGUUCCUGGAGCCCCUCUGCUGCCCAUUAUCAAUGGGGUCCUGCCCAAGCCACCCACCAUACUGGUGGAGCCAAAGGGCAGCGGUAAGGAGGAAGCAGGCCCAGUGCGGACAGCAGGGCUAGUGGCCACAGAGCCAGCCAGAGGGCGCCCUGAAGGAGAAGAAGAAAGAGAAGAAAGAGGAGAAGAAGAAGAAAAGGAGCAGGAGGGCGAGGGGGAGAGGGCAGAGCCUGGCAGUGGCUGGGCAUGCCAGCGCUGCACACUGCAUAACACACCAGUGGCCAGCUCUUGUUCUGCCUGUGGGGGACCCCGGAAACUGUCAUUGCCUCGCAUCCCCCCAGAAGCCCUGGUGGUUCCCGAGGUUGUAGCCCCUACUGGCUUUCAUGUCGUUCCUGCUCCAUCCCAGCCUGUCCUCCCUGGGGAAGGUGCUGAGGCUGAUUCUCCUUCUACCAGCCAGGGUCCCACCUCCACUGACCAGGAGCCACCCAGGGUACCACUCUUCAGCCCCUUCUCACCCACCCUACAGAACAACCCUGUACCCAGAAGCCGCCGGGAGGUCCCCCCUCAGCUUCAGCCACCUGUGCCUGAGGCUGUUCAGUCCUCAGCCUCCACAAGCUCCAAAGGGCCCCAGCAGGGCCCUGGAAGAGCUGCAGCUGGGGCCUCCCGCCUCGCUGAGCUACUCUCAGGCAAGGAGCUGCUGCCAGGCAAGCGACUGAGUGUGUUGGAGGAGGAGGUCCCAGAGAGCAGCCCUGCCCGCUGUGAGUCGUGCAGUGAUGUCAUUGACCUAGCUGGGGACAUUGUGCGCUACACACCUGCCAGUCCCUCCAGCCCUGACUUCACCACCUGGUCAUGUGCCAGGUGUACACUUAGGAACCCCACAACAGCCCCCAGGUGUUCAGUGUGUGGUGGCUCCAAGCUGCAUGGUUUCCAGGAGCACAGUGAACCCCCUACCCACUGCCCUGACUGUGGUGCCAACAAGCCUGGCCCCUGUGUUGGCUCCUGUGGACGAGCUCCCUCAGCACACAAGGCUGUCCGUCUCUUGCCCGAUCGCCCGGGUCAGUGGGCCUGCCCGGCCUGUACUCUGAUCAACACACCUCGGGCCAAGCACUGUGCAGCCUGCCAUACACCACAGCUUCUGGUGACCCAGUGCCGGGGGGCUACCCCCCUGAGGCGCAGGGAGAGUAUGCAUGUGGAGAAGCGGAGGCAGACAGAUGAGGGCGAGGCCAAGGCACUCUGGGAGAACAUAGUGGCUUUCUGCAGAGAGAAUAGUGUGAACUUUGUGGAUGACAGCUUCCCCCCCGGGCCUGCAUCUGUCGGCUUCCCAGUGGGCGACAGCGUCCAGCAGCGAGUGAAACAGUGGCUGAGGCCCCACGAAAUCAACUGCUCUGUCUUCAGGGACCACGGCACUCCGUGGUCAGUCUUCCACACCCUGAGGCCCUCUGACAUCCUACAGGGGCUGCUGGGGAACUGCUGGUUCCUGAGUGCGUUGGCAGUACUGGCUGAACGUCCCGACCUCGUGGAGAGGGUGAUGGUCACACGUAGCCUAUGUGCAGAGGGUGCCUACCAGGUGCGGCUGUGCAAAGAUGGCACGUGGACAACAGUGCUGGUGGAUGACAUGCUGCCCUGUGAUGAGGCUGGGUUUUUGCUCUUCUCACAGGCACAGCGGAAGCAGUUAUGGGUGGCCCUCAUUGAGAAGGCACUGGCCAAGCUGCACGGCUCCUACUUUGCCCUCCAGGCAGGGCGUGCCAUUGAAGGUCUGGCCACACUAACCGGAGCCCCCUGUGAGAGCCUGGCGCUGCAGGUCAGCUCCACUAACCCCCGAGAGGAGCCUGUUGACACUGAUCUCAUCUGGGCCAAAAUGCUGAGUUCUAAAGAGGCUGGGUUCCUCAUGGGUGCGUCCUGCGGGGGAGGUAACAUGAAGGUAGAUGAUGCUGCUUACGAGAGCCUGGGUCUGCGCCCCCGCCAUGCUUACUCUGUCUUGGAUGUUCGUGAUGUUCAGGGCUCCAGGCUCCUGCGACUCCGGAACCCAUGGGGCCGUUUCUCCUGGAAUGGCAGUUGGUCAGAUGAGUGGCCACACUGGCCAGGGCACCUGCGAGCUGAGCUCAUGCCACACGGCAGCAGUGAGGGUGUCUUCUGGAUGGAGUAUAGUGACUUUAUCAGGUACUUCGACUCUGUGGACAUCUGCAAGGUGCACUCAGACUGGCAAGAGGCACGGGUUCAGGGCUGUUUCCCAAGCACUGCCGGUGGGCCUGUGGGUGUGACAGCACUCACAGUGCUGGAGCGUGCCUCACUGGAGUUUGCCCUCUUCCAGGAGGGCAGCAGGCGCUCGGAUUCAGUAGACAGCCACCUCCUGGAUCUGUGCAUCCUAGUGUUCCGGGCCACUUUUGGCACUGGUGGCCGCCUGAGCCUGGGCCGCCUCUUGGCCCACAGCAAACGUGCUGUUAAGAAGUUUGUGAACUGUGAUGUCAUGCUGGAGCCUGGGGAGUAUGCUGUGGUAUGCUGUGCCUUCAACCACUGGAACCCUGCUCCACCAGGGCCCCCUGCCCAGGGUAAGGGCCCCAGCCAGAUGAGGCCCACACCCUCCUUCCCAACCUCCGAGCCCCAAAGCCCACCCACGGGAAAGCUGCUGGCUCCCUUAUCCACACCCCCCACAGCCUCCAGCCCCUCAGCAGGGGUCCCCCGAGGUGCCCCCGAGCCACCCGGCCACGUACUCGCAGUGUACAGCUCCAGGCUGGUCAUGGUGGAGCCGGUGGAGGCGCAGCCAACCACACUGGCCGAUGCCAUCAUCCUGCUCACUGAGAGCCGGGGCGAGCGGCAUGAGGUGGGUGGGGUCCUGAUGGGGGAGGGCAGAGGGUGGGCAACCACCAGCCCUGGCCCACCCACCCUGUGCCUGUGCCCAGGGUCGAGAGGGCAUGACCUGCUAUUACCUGACUCAUGGCUGGGCGGGACUCAUCGUGGUAGUGGAGAACCGGCACCCCAAGUCCUACCUGCAUGUGCAAUGUGACUGCACCGACAGCUUCAAUGUGGUGUCCACACGUGGCAGCCUGCGCACCCAGGACAGUGUACCACCCCUGCACAGGUCCUGGUGAUCUUGUCUCAGCUGGAAGGCAAUGCUGGAUUCUCUAUCACCCAUCGCCUGGCACAUCGCAAGGCAGCCCAGGCCUUCCUCAGUGACUGGACAGCCUCUAGGGGUACCCACAGCCCCCCACUCACACCUGAUGUGGCCGGCCUACAUGGACCCCGGCCACUGUGACUGCAGUUCCCUAGGGCAAGGGCUGUGUGCAGAUCUACCCACCUGCCCCCCUACAUGCACUUUAUGAGGGAGACCCCCAAUGGAGGAUGCUUGAACCAGAAUCUCAGGACCCUGCCCAGGGAGCCGCCAGCCACAGGGUGCAGCCUCCCUUGGGCCUCCCUCCCCUCCUAUCCCACCCCAAGUACCCUCAGUACCCCACCAGGCCUCCCAGCUGCCAUGCAGAAUACCUCGAACCGGGUGGGCUUCAUUCCAGUACUUCUGUCUUGAGCCCUGGGGACAGCUUCAGAUGGCCAAGGCCCAAAGGGGGCGGCCCUGUGAAUAUGGGGUCACUUAUUAUGGAGAGGCAGCCCAGAUAAAUGUUCGCAGAACCAGUCCGGGUUUUAGAGGCCAUGCCCUGCUCGCCGUGAGAACCUGGGCAACCCUUUGUGGGGCUCAGAUCUGCUGCUGCUCCCCUUGUUUGUUCCCAAGCCCAGCUCCCUGCCCUAAUGAUCAGGGUCCUGAUAGCCCUGGCAUAUGAGCAGUGCAUUGCAGGAAGCAGAUGCCUGGUGGCCAUCGGCCAGGGCUUGGGGACAGCUACACCUCCUGCAACACUAUGCAAUUCCUGGAGCACCUGCCAGGAUCGAAGCCAUGAUGGAGCCACAGGACAGGAGCCAGUCCCAGCCCUGCUGUCUGGAGAAGUGCUUUGUCCUUAGUUUCCCUGGCCACAGUCAGCUCUGCCCAUGGCCUCAGUCUGUCCACAAAGAGGGAUACCCCCUACUCCGGUCCUAUCACAGGCACAUGUAAGGUGUGACUGACUACUCCCUCCCCUAGAUGAGGGAGCCAAGCUGCCCACCUGCCCAGCAUUCCCUCAGCUGCUUGUCAAAAUCAGAGCCCUUACCUGCCACAUGGACGCCUGAGUCAUUUCCUGGGCCACUGUUGUGCAGCCCCCUAGGUAGGGGCAGCUCCCAAGCCCACUGUCCCUGCCUCCAUGGGGCUUGCUAGGGUUUUUAUACCUAGAGAAACAUUCCCCUUCCCUCUGGGCCUCCUUUUACUCUGAGCUGUGAAUAUUUUUAACCCUGUAAAUAGGACCAGCUCUUCGAACACAGAGACUAUUUUAUCAGCUGUCAGUCCCUUCCUUGUUCGAUGAUGCACCCCAUAGGCCAUUUCCACUCAGGCUCCACGGACCAAAUAAAAGUGUUUUGUUUUGUAAGAA